CAAAAGCGAAUGCUUUCUAGAAGCCCUGGAGGGCUCCGCGCGCUGCUGCUUGGACAUGCUUCUAGGAAACAACCUGUGCUUUAAUGGGCACUUUGCAAUUGCAUAGAAGUUCCCACCAAAACAGAAGUGGCCUUUCAAAGACAAGUGCAAACUGUGCCGUGGAAGUCCAAGAGUCCUCAUGGGAGUGCAAAAACAUCACAAAAGCUGAUCCUGAGUUCUGCAUGGCACCUUCCUCAGGGGACGGUUGAAUCAGAGAAUCACCAGGGUUGGAAGAGGCCGCUCAGAUCACCAAGGGCAGCCCCAACCCAUCCGCACCGUGCCUCAGUGCCACACCUGCAGCUGUGGGAAAUAUCUCCCCUUUUGGUGGCUGUGGGGAAUGAAACACUCCGGUUGUCACCGAGGAGCAGCUCACCAUUUUCGCUGACAACC
ensembl:lncRNA